UACGUAGGGUGCAAGCGUUGUCCGGAAUUAUUGGGCGUAAAGAGCUCGUAGGCGGUGUGUCGCGUCGGCCGUGAAAACCUGCAGCUUAACUGUGGGCUUGCGGUCGAUACGGGCAUCACUGGAGUUCGGCAGGGGAGACUGGAAUUCCUGGUGUAGCGGUGAAAUGCGCAGAUAUCAGGAGGAACACCGGUGGCGAAGGCGGGUCUCUGGGCCGGAACUGACGCUGAGGAGCGAAAGCGUGGGGAGCGAACAGG
rnacentral:rRNA from 1 species